rnacentral:lncRNA from 1 species
UUCCCAGCGCACCCUCACCUCUGAAUGCCAGCUGCUCACUAGCUGCUCCUUCAUGACUUUUCCACGCUGCCUUUUAUCGUUUCCAUCUGAAAUAGUGGAUAAUUCCAACGGCAGUGCAUACAGGAGCUUCAGAGACUUCUCAGCUCUGCUCUGUUUCUCAGCCAUCAGCAGCUCCUGUAUUCUUCUGGAAGCUUCGCAGAUGAACUUGAACCCCACCUGCCCUGCCCCAGACAGCUCGAGAGGAGCACACCAACCUUGAGCGAGCUCUGGGAAGUAGGUGCCAGUCCAG